AGAACUUUGAAGACUGAAGUGGAGAAGGGUUUCAUGUGAACAGUGCUUGGACAUGGGUUAGCCGGUCAUAAGAGAUAGGUAUGUUUUGCGCAUGCAGGCUUUGCUUCGUUCCUUGACAAGGAAUGGGGUUAAUAUCCCCCAGCCAGGACGUGGAUAUUGCAUGGUAACAUAAUGUAGGUUGGUGAUGCAAUGGGAAGCCUUGGUAAGCGUUGUCUUUUCUGUUUAAUUGUUUAUUACCCUGAAAUCAGAUUGCCUGGAGAUAGGGUUGAAUGGCAAGCAAAGCACCUUGUCUUCUGAGGUGUCUGGUGUGCUUUCAGUUGCCCUUGAAAAACCAAAUGAUUGUUUUAUUCUCUCCCCUGGUCGUGCCCAUAUCCGCAUCAGGUCUCCAAGGUUUGUAGCCUCUGGUCUUUGGAACAAAGUAGGUAAGGGAAGUCGGCAAAA
rnacentral:rRNA from 1 species